CACGCCGCUCACCACCCAACGCCCUCGCUUCGUCGAUCUUCAUUCUCCGCCCGCGCCGCCGCUCCCACCCACAGCCUCCGCACCCGCCCGCCGGCGCACCAACUCCGCCUCCUCCUGCCGCCUGAUUUCCUCGCUGACGCCGCAUCCCCCCACCCCCCAACCCCCCCAGGCCGGCGUCGAGGACGGCGGAGCCCAGCGUCGCGCGGUCUUAACCUCUACCGGCCGUCGAAACGCACGCCUCCCUUCUGGUCCUGGACUAGGCCGGCCGGGUUAAUCCCAAGCGCCGCCCCGUCCUCGCCCUUGAAACACGAGGCGCCACACAGGUGCAAUCGAUUUGAUGGUGCGCGCGGCUCCGUCCAACUCGCCGGUCGAUCUGCAUCGCGCGUGGAUGAGGGAGCGCGGCGCGGUGCGGUGCUGCUCGUACCGAAGCCACCUCGACGCCUCGGCUUCAAAGGGUUUUGCCAUGGCUGACAACGGAGCGCCUCCACAAGGAGUAUCAGGUGCUCUGCAAGGAACCGCCGCUGCUGAUCGUGGCUCUCCUGCUUGCCCUGCCACAUAUGUUGUCUUUGUCUUAUGAGGAGGCGGAUGCAUGGCGGAGAAUGCCGCGGCGUCGCCGCAUCCUACUCGGUUGGCGUCGGAGGGCGCUGUUGGGGCGGUGUGCCAUGCUUUGCCGGCGGUGAUGGCGGCAGUUGCUGCGGCGACGCCACGUCCUGCUCGGUCGGCGUGGAUGUCGUGGUCGCCGUUAACGGUGAUGUGGAAAGUGGCGGCUCGUGUCCUUCUCCGCUCAACAGCGAAGAGGUCCAUGACUCGCUAGUGCCGAAGGAAUGUUCGCUGCCGGCGAGAUGCUGCGAGACGGUACUAGCAGGAGGAGAUACCGCUGUUGUUGUUGCUGCACCUGUACUUCAAGGAAGGAGGAGGUCUCGAGCCGGUUGUUGUGUUGUUGCAUAAAUGGUACUUGUGUGGUGACAACGUCCAACGUAGCUCUUGCCAAUGACGACAAUCAGCGACGCUUCCAUGCCAUGCGCCAUGCUGCUCGGGCCUUCCCGCAUCACGAACCAGCAGCUGAGAGGCAGCCCUUCCGCUGCCUAGGUGCAGUGAGUCCCUAGUUUGCUGGUGUCUGGCUUCAUCGACGUGGUUGUGCCAUUGGAAGUGGGCCCCGUGAUGAUGCCCACCAUAUUGAGUUUGCUGGUGUUGUGAGGAGAUAGGCUGUGAAUAUCUCCCCUCCUGAGUAGUGCGAACCAAACCGUCUACCUGGUGACCGAUGGUGCCGAGGAGAGCUCCUUCAAGAACAUCAACACCAUUACCGAGUGCACCUCGCUGAUGAGUUGAUCAACGACGUCGCCAAGGGCUUAUCUAACAGUGGAGGUAGAGCUGGCCAGGAGGUAUCCAUGACUGUUAGAUAAAGUCGGCUGGCACGAGCGGCCGUCUUCAACCCUAUUAGAUCAUCAGGGCGUAUAUUUCCGAGGGGGAUGAAUUACUUCAAAUUCGGUUGAGUUUCUUUUGCUGGCAACAAAGAGCCGAAGAUAGACCAAAUUGGCCUGGGUUUGGUGCUACAAUAUUUCAUUUCCUGGGAGCGUAGAAGGCUGUUGUCUGAUGCAUGACUGGAUGGUGGCCUUCUUCUUCUUCGAGUCCGUGGGUUUUUGGAAGUUUCUUGUUCCACCCCUUUCUCCUCUCUAUACUUUGAUGAAUUCGUAUGCUGCCAGGAUCAUAGCUUCAGACUUGACUAUCAUGUUUCCUUUGCUAGUUGACACUUUUGAUACAUAUUAGCCUACAGAUGCUGAUCCUACACACCUACCAUUGUUCGAUGUGGCAGUCUACAUGAUUUUUGAUAGAGUUCAUAUGUACUGUGAAUCUGUGAUGCAGCGGAGACUGUUCAUGUACUAUAUAUUACCUGUUUAUAGUUAAAAUAUAUCCAAUAUGUCCAUUUAAGUAUGUUUGAUUAGUAGUACUCCAGAUAGCUAUGUGCAGCAAUAUGGUUUACUUGAGACCUGCUCAUAUGUGGGAUCAUGAUGUAUUAUGCGCACAAGUGCUAUCCUAUCCAUUGUCUAGUUUUGAUUUUAUUUUACAAAAUAAUCUAUGAGUUACUCUUUCAGCUUUACAUCCCAACUAGUUGCUUAGUUUGUCCUUGGUUUACACAUUUGAUGCCUAUCUUCUUGUAUAAGAUUUUCAGGUAAAGACGACCUUUUUGUUUUGAGAUGGUAAAGACGACCUUGAAGUAACUAGUUGAGGUCCUUGUAAUGUUUCAGGCCGCCUAGGCUCACCCCAGGCCGCUUUGGAGUCUGGUGCACGGUCCUGGCUCGCCCCAGGUCUGCUGCUGGUGAUGUGCUGGCUGUGGCCUUUGUGUGAUACUGCAGUUUCGGUUCUUGUAAUGUGGGCUUUGUAGUGCUCCAGGCCAGGGAGUUGUAGUGGUAUUGUGUAGCUACUUCCUUUUGUAUUUUUGGUUCUUGUAAUGUGGGUCAUACUGUCGAGUCGUCUGGGUUGGUGUAUUUGGAAUGAUAUGAUCUGUGCUGAGUGCAAAUCAUUGUUUGCUGUGUGCU